GUGACAUGAUCUCAGCUCAUUGCAGCCUCAACCUCCCAGGCACAAGCGAUCCUCCUGCCUCAGCCUCCUGAGUAGCUGGGAUACAGGUGGCCACAUGAAAGGACAGGAGGGAGGCCUCCAGGAGCUAAAUGUGGCCCCCAGCUGAAGCCCAGCCUGCAACCACAAGGAACUGGAUUCUGCCAGCAACCUGAAUGCACUUAGAAGCGGUUUCUCUCUGGAGCCUCCUGAUAGGAGCCCAGCCAGCCAACACCUUGAUUUUGGCCUUGUGAGACCUAGAGCAGAGAAACCUUCUAAGCCAUUCGUGACUUCUGACCUUCAGGACUAUGAUGAUAAAUGUGUGUUAUUUUGAGCUGUUAAUUUGUGAUAAUUUGUUGUAGCAGCAGUUGAAAACUUGAAGCUUAGUCUGCAGAAAGUCUAAGGAUGGAUAAAAAUGAAUGAAGACCCUCAAAGCCGUGCCCCCACCUUAUUAUUCUCCUCUGGGUUCUCCUAACCCUAAUUCUAACCCUAUCUUCUUUUUUUUUUUUUAUACUUUAAGUUCUAGGGUAUGUGAUCACAACUUGCAGGUUUGUUACAUAUGUAUACACGUGCGAUGUUGGUGUGCUGCACCCAUUAACUCGUCAUUUACAUUAGGUAUAUCACCUAAUGCUAUCCCUCCCCUCUCCCCACCAACCCCACAAUAGGCCCCAGUGUGUGAUGUUCCCCUUCCUGUGUCCAAGUGUUCUCAUUGUUCAAUUCCCACCUAUAAGUGAGAACAUGCGGUGUUUGGUUUUUUGUCCUUGUGAUAGUUUGUUGAGAAUGAUGGUUUCCAGUUUCAUCCAUGUCCCUACAAAGGACAUGAACUCAUCCUUUUUUAUGGCUGCAUAGUAUUCCAUGGUGUAUAUGUGCCACAUUUUCUUAAUCCAGUCUAUCAUUGAUGGACAUUUGGGUUGAUUCCAAGUCUUUGCUGUUGUGAAUAGUGCUGCAAUAAACGUAUGUGUGCAUAUGUCUUUAUAGCAGCAUGAUUUAUAAUCCUUUGGGUAUAUACCCAGUAAUGGGAUUGCUGGGUCAAAUGAUAUUUCUAGUUCUAGAUCCUUGAGAAAUAGCCACACUGUCUUCCACAAUGGUUGAACUAGUUUAUAGACCCACCAACAGUGUAAAGGUGUUCCUAUUUCUCCACAUCCUCUCCAGCACCUGUUGUUUCCUGACUUUUUAAUGAUCGCCA
rnacentral:lncRNA from 1 species